rnacentral:rRNA from 1 species
CAGCAGCCGCGGUAAUACGGAGGGUGCAAGCGUUAAUCGGAAUUACUGGGCGUAAAGCGCACGCAGGCGGUCUGACAAGUCAGAUGUGAAAUCCCCGGGCUUAACCUGGGAACUGCAUUUGAAACUGUCAGGCUGGAGUCUUGUAGAGGGGGGUGGAAUUCCAGGUGUAGCGGUGAAAUGCGUAGAGAUCUGGAGGAAUACCGGUGGCGAAGGCGGCCCCCUGGACAAAGACUGACGCUCAGGUGCGAAAGCGUGGGGAGCAAACAGGAUUAGAUACCCCGGUAGUCCCUGUCUCUUAUAA